AGCGAACGCUGGCGGCGUACCUAACACAUGCAAGUCGAACGGGGGUCAUCGGGUUAGCAAUAGUUCGGUGGUCCUAGUGGCGCACGGGUGAGUACAACGUAGGUAACCUACCCUCGAGACCGGGAUAACCUGUCGAAAGACGGGCUAAUACCGGAUAAGACCACAAGGGCUGCGGCCUUUGAGGUAAAAGAUGGCCUCUGCUUGCAAGCUAUCACUUGGGGAUGGGCCUGCGCGCCAUAGCUAGUUGGUGAGGUAACGGCUCACCAAGGCAAGGAUGGCUAGCUGGUCUGAGAGGAUGGCCAGCCACACUGGGACUGAGACACGGCCCAGACUCCUACGGGAGCAGCAGUGGGAAUAUUGCGCAAGU
rnacentral:rRNA from 1 species